rnacentral:lncRNA from 1 species
GUUCCAUUUUAUUAUCAAACAGUAUUCCGUUGUCUGAAUAUAUCACAAUCUGUUCUUCUUUUGAUGGACAUCUGAACUGUGUCCAGUUGGGGAUAUUAAGGAUAAGGCUUCUGGGAACAUUCCUAUACAAGUAUUUUGGUGAACACGUGUUUUCAUCUCUCCUGGGUAAAUAUCCAGUCCUGGAAUUGCUGGGUCAUAGAGUAGGUGUAUGUUGGAUUUUAUAGGAAACUGUUAGAACUUUUCCUUCAGUGGUUGUACCAUUUUACAUUCCUACCAAGAAUGUAUGAGAAUUCCAGUUACUCCACCUGCUCAUCAGCAUUGAGAUUGACAGUCUGUUCAUCUUAGCCAUUCUGCUGGAUGUGCAGUGGUGUGUUAUUGUGGUUUUAGUCUUCACUUCCCUGAUGACUAAUGAUAGUGAGGCCUUUUCAUGUGCUUAAUGACCACUUGAAUAUCUUCCUUUGUGAAGUGUCCAUUCAAAGCCCUGCCCAUUUUUUAAAUUGGGUUUUAUUUUUUUAAUUGAAUUGUAGUUCUUUUUAUAUCCUAGAUACCAGUUCUUUGUCAGAUACAUCUUUUUAAAAUAAUUUCUCCCAGUUUGUGGCAUGCCUGUUAAUUUUCUUGUUGUCUUUUGAUGAGCAGAAGUUUUUCAUUUUAAUGAAGUCUAACUUAUAAAUUUUAUCUUUUUAUGGUUAUUGCUUUCUGUGUCUUGCCUGAAAAAAACCACUGCCUACUCCAUUGGAGGAGAUAGUCUCCCUUUUUUAUUUUUUGUAAGAAUUUGAUAGUUUUAGCUUUUAAAUUUAGAUCUGUAAUCCACUUUGGGUUAAUAUUUGUGAAUGGUGUGAAUAGAGGUCAAGGAUCUUUUUUUUUUUUUCCACCUGGAUAACCAGUUCUUCCAGCAUCAUUGUUGAAAACAUUUUCCUUUCCCUAUUGGAUUUCCCUUUGGUUCCUUUGCCAAAGAUCAGAUGACCAUUUAAGCGUGGGUCUAUUUCUGGACUCUUUUCGGCUUUUCCACAGAUCUGUUUGAAGAUUCUGUGUGAGUACCACACUGUCUUGAUUUCUAUAGCUUUAUAGUAAGUCUUGAAACCAGAUAGUAUAAGUUCUCCAACCUUAUUCUUUCUCAAGAUAGCUUUGGAUAUUUCAGGUUCUUUGUGUUUUCAUUGUACAAUCAGUUUGUGGUUUCUGAAGAAAAGCUGGUGGGAUUAUGAUUGCAAUUGCAUUCAGUCUGUUCAUCAAUUGGAAGAAUUGAACACUUCUUACAUGCCAGACUGUUGUAAGCUCUUGGAUUACAUCUGGGAACAAAGCAAAGAUCCUUGUGCUACUGUAGCUUACAUUCAGAGGGAAUUUUUGUUUAUUUGUUUUCUGUCAGGGUUUAUUAGUUUAAAUAUCUGAUGAUUCCCUUAGGACAGAUUCCUAGAGGUAGAAUUACUACAUCAAGUAAUAGGAACUUUUUCAGGCUCUUUAAACAUAUGACCAGAUAACUUUCUAACUCAGCAAGUACUUUUUUUUUUUUGAGACGGUGUCUCGCUCUGUUGCCAGGCUGGAGUGCAGUAGCGCAAUCUCGGCUCGCUGCAACCUCUGCCUCCCAGGUUCAAGCGAUUCCCCUGCCUCAGCCUCCUGAGUAGCUGGGACUACAGGCACACACCACCACGCCCAGUAUUUUUAGUAGAGACGGGGUUUCACCAUGUUGGUCAGGAUGGUCUCGAUCUCUUGACCUCGUGAUCCACUCAAAGUGCUGGGAUUACAGGCAUGAGCCACCGUGCCCGGCCAAGUAUUUAUCUUCUGUGGAACUAACCACUACGCUCAGCAUUUUGGAGAUCUAGGACUGGGAAGAUUGCGGUCAGUUCUUGCUCUUAAAGCACUCUAUCCAGCUGGAGAAACAUGAUGGCCAUUCAUGAAGGAGUUUGAGUCCUGUCCAUUGUUUGUAAUGGAAUCCAGAUUAAACAUCUACUGUCCAAAUAACAGUCCUAACAAUGCAAGGGUCAGAAAAAAGGUCAGCA